AGCGAACGCUGGCGGCAGGCUUAACACAUGCAAGUCGAACGGGCAUAGCAAUAUGUCAGUGGCAGACGGGUGAGUAACGCGUGGGAACGUACCUUUUGGUUCGGAACAACACAGGGAAACUUGUGCUAAUACCGGAUAAGCCCUUACGGGGAAAGAUUUAUCGCCGAAAGAUCGGCCCGCGUCUGAUUAGCUAGUUGGUAGGGUAAUGGCCUACCAAGGCGACGAUCAGUAGCUGGUCUGAGAGGAUGAUCAGCCACAUUGGGACUGAGACACGGCCCAAACUCCUACGGGAGGCAGCAGUGGGGAAUAUUGGACAAUGGGCGAAAGCCUGAUCCAGCCAUGCUGCGUGAGUGAUGAAGGCCCUAGGGUUGUAAAGCUCUUUUGUGCGGGAAGAUAAUGACGGUACCGCAAGAAUAAGCCCCGGCUAACUUCGUG
rnacentral:rRNA from 1 species